rnacentral:lncRNA from 1 species
GUCUUACGGCAUAGGUGGCCUCUCAGAGUCUCAGCAAGGUCACUCUUUUCCAUAUGUAAUAAUGAGCCAUUGUUCUAUUCAUCAUGACCUCAUAGAGCCUUUUCUUUUUCUCAGGUCUCAUUUACUUCCUCUUUUUUUUUUCCUUUUCCUUUUCCUAUACCUUCCUUUGGUCCUUAUAAGUAUCCAAAUUGCCCUAAAAUAACUUCUGCACAUGCAGCAUUAGGAAGCAGUGUUUCCCAACCACUACAUUUGAAUGAAAUGAGGUCUUGCUAUGUUACCCAGGCCAGUCUUGAAUUCCUGGGCUCAAGUGAUCCUUCUUCCUCCGCCUCCUAAAGUGCUGCAAUUACAGGCAUGAGCCUUCAUACACAACCAAAUGGUGCCCUUAUGAGAGAAAAAUGUCAUGCAAAGACAUGGACACAGAGAGGAGUCCGUUCUGUGAGUGGAAGCCAAGAUUGGAGCAAUGCAGCCACAAGCCAAGGACUGAUUGCCACCUCCAGAAACUAGAAAAAGUCAAAGAAGGAUUCUAUCUAGAAUCUCCAGGAAAUCAUCACCUUGUUGCUAACUCUAUUUUGGAUUUCUAGUUCCCAGAACUAUUCAUUCCUCUGAGGACCCUCAAGUACUUCAGAAGAACUAAAAAAUGAAUAUCACGUUACACCAAAGAAGAAAUGAAAGCUGCCAGUGUCUUCUGAAGUUAAACAGGCUCCUGUUCUUUGACCCAGCAAUCCAAUCCUAGGUAUUUAAUUGUUCCCUGAGGUUUAAGGCAGUGGACUGAGGAUAAUACAGGCUCCAGCUUUCAUUAGUUCAAUGGAUGAUGCUGUUCAAUCCAUACUGUUUGGGGCAUUUGUUGAAAAUGUCAUUCAGAAGAUAUCAACACUUUCUGAGUCAUGGUUUGAUUGAAUUUAUAGAAUUAUGUGAUAGAAACCACAUUCUUCACAAAAGUCACAAGGCAAUAAUGACGACAAGGGUUGAAGAUGAAAGAUGCCAAAUAUUCUGAUCAAUUCAAUAAGGCAAAAAGACAAGUUAAUUCACUCAGUGCUCCAGGCAUCAACUUCAUAGAAGGAAUGGAAAUUCUACCUGUUUCCUAAAGAACUACAGAGGUGUACACCAAACGGAGGGCAAAUGCUGUUACCACUCAUCGUGCAAGACUUUUGAGGCAAUUUGGACAUAGACAAGUGAUGGGAAAAUUGAAUCAUUAUAUGGCUCAUGACAGUGUUGAAAACUCAAACAUCCAAGGACCUGUACCUUUGCUAAGUGCCAUGCAUAUGUUGCUGAUAAAGAUGCAAUAAA